UGAAAUGCGCAGAUAUCAGGAGGAACACCGAUGGCGAAGGCAGGUCUCUGGGCAUUAACUGACGCUGAGGAGCGAAAGCAUGGGGAGCGAACAGGAUUAGAUACCCUGGUAGUCCAUGCCGUAAACGUUGGGCACUAGGUGUGGGGGACAUUCCACGUUUUCCGCGCCGUAGCUAACGCAUUAAGUGCCCCGCCUGGGGAGUACGGCCGCAAGGCUAAAACUCAAAGGAAUUGACGGGGGCCCGCACAAGCGGCGGAGCAUGCGGAUUAAUUCGAUGCAACGCGAAGAACCUUACCAAGGCUUGACAUGAACUGGAAACACUUGGAAACAAGUGCCCCGCUUGCGGUCGGUUUACAGGUGGUGCAUGGUUGUCGUCAGCUCGUGUCGUGAGAUGUUGGGUUAAGUCCCGCAACGAGCGCAACCCUCGUUCUAUGUUGCCAGCACGUUAUGGUGGGGACUCAUAGGAGACUGCCGGGGUCAACUCGGAGGAAGGUGAGGACGACGUCAAAUCAUCAUGCCCCUUAUGUCUUGGGCUUCACGCAUGCUACAAUGGCCGGUACAAUGGGUUGCGAUACUGUGAGGUGGAGCUAAUCCCAAAAAGCCGGUCUCAGUUCGGAUUGGGGUCUGCAACUCGACCCCAUGAAGUCGGAGUCGCUAGUAAUCGCAGAUCAGCAACGCUGCGGUGAAUACGUUCCCGGGCCUUGUACACACCGCCCGUCAAGUCACGAAAGUUGGUAACACCCGAAGCCCAUGGCCCAACCCG
rnacentral:rRNA from 1 species